rnacentral:rRNA from 1 species
ACGGAAGGCAGCAGUGGGGAAUAUUGGGCAAUGGGCGGAAGCCUGACCCAGCAACGCCGCGUGAGGGAAGAAGGUUUUCGGAUUGUAAACCUCUGUCCUUGGUGACGAAAAGAUGACGGUAGCCAAGGAGGAAGCCCCGGCUAACUACGUGCCAGCAGCCGCGGUAAUACGUAGGGGGCAAGCGUUAUCCGGAUUUACUGGGUGUAAAGGGAGCGUAGACGGCAUGGCAAGUCUGAUGUGAAAACCCGGGGCUCAACCCCGGGACUGCAUUGGAAACUGUCAGGCUAGAGUGCAGGAGGGGUAAGCGGAAUUCCUAGUGUAGCGGUGAAAUGCGUAGAUAUUAGGAGGAACACCGGUGGCGAAGGCGGCUUACUGGACUGUAACUGACGUUGAGGCUCGAAAGCGUGGGGAGCAAACAGGAUUAGAUACCCUGGUA